UACGGGGGGAGCAAGCGUUGUUCGGAUUUACUGGGCGUAAAGGGCGCGUAGGCGGCCAGCGCAAGUCAGUUGUGAAAUCUCCGGGCUUAACUCGGAACGGUCAACUGAUACUGCGCGGCUAGAGUGCAGAAGGGGCAACUGGAAUUCCCGGUGUAGCGGUGAAAUGCGCAGAUAUCGGGAGGAACACCAAUGGCGAAGGCAGCUCGCUGGGACGUUACUGACGCUGAGACGCGAAAGCGUGGGGAGCAAACAGGG
rnacentral:rRNA from 1 species